AAGAUUAUAGUUAAACAUAACAUUUGUCUUGCUUACAAAAAGUAAUGAAACCCUUCAUUUUAUCUUA
rnacentral:tRNA from 1 species